rnacentral:lncRNA from 1 species
GGCUGGGACUGCACAAGGACUGUCCAACGUUAGCACUUCAGCUACUCAACCUUUGUCUGACACGUAUGGACAAGACGUGAAGGUAGAGAGAAGCUCCCUUAAAGAGGUGUAGUCUCUGGUACCUGGCAAUUUUUCCAGAGGAAGAAGAUGGGACCCAGACACGCCACUGAUUGUUAACCAAUUGGCUGUCAUUUCCAGCCUAAACCAUUCUGAAUUGGAUAAUGAUGGUCUGGUCAUGCUUCUUCGGUGGGCUACUCCUUCCUAUAUGGACAGAUGCUGUUCCUCUGAGCAUUCCUGAGAAAGCUUUUGUACACAAAUGUUCAUCUCAGGACCUGGCCCCUUGGGAUCCUGACCUUUGUGCCAGGAGGACACCACAAAAGAAGAAUCUAAAAUGGGAAUUUGGAACUGAAUAGCCACUAACCUGAUAGCACCCCAAUAUCAUCA